rnacentral:lncRNA from 1 species
CGCGCGCUGCGCGCUCCGCCCUCGCCUUCCGCCCCCACAGCUAUCAGCACUCGGCCUCCCGCGCCGGGCGGGCUCCGCCCGAGCCUCCGGGGCCCAUGGCCAAGCGCCGUGCGGCCGAGCCGCUGACGUUCCACGUGCCUUGGAAGCGGCUCCUGCUCUGCGACUUUCCUGAGGAGCCGCCGUCGCCGCCGCUCUGGAUCCCGCCGCCGGGGGUCUCGCAUCCCGGGCGGCCCCUCGGCUUCCCCGAGCUGCCCCGAAAGCGUAAAAUCGACGCAGGGGCUAUGACGGAGCCUUCGGUUUCGCCCAGCAAGCGCCGCGACGACGGGGAUACCGGCGCCCAGGACGGCGCGGAGCGUGAGGGCCGCGGCCUGGAGACCGGCGAGUCGCAGCUGCUGCAGCCGCCCGUGCGGCCCCGCAGGCCGGGGGAGGAGCCCCGGGGUGUCCGCCCCCCGAGAGGCGGUGGCGACGAUGGGGCGGGGCGCGCAGAGUCCCAGCGGGGAGACUGGGGGGCCGCACCGCGCCAGCUCAGUGAAGAAUUUUGGCAGUAUAACACCUUCCAGUACUGGAGGAACCCUUUACCACCUAUUGAUCUGGCAGACAUUGAAGAUGUAAGCGAAGACAGCCUGACAGAAACAGCACUGCAGGGCAAGAAUGAAGUGGCUGAGAUUGAUAUGGAGUCUUGACAGAAGGAGCUAAAGAAGUGGGUUUUUCUCAACUUGUGGAGACAUCUCUAAGUGAAUUUAUGUAUUCUUAAGGAAAAAAGUUAUUUUCCAUACUUGAUGUGUUAUCAUUCCCAAACCUGAAAAAUGAGGAAAAGAUGUUUCAAAGAUAAAUGCC